GUGUAUGUGUGUUUGUGUGCGUUAUGGCUAACCAGGCCUGCAUGACUCAAGCAUUUCCUCCAACAAAUCACACACAUAAAAAGCAACACUCCCUCAUUUUCCACAGGUUCAUUCUUUCUAAGCCUUCUCUUGAUCUUCUCAUGCUUCAUUCUCUCUCCUUCAAACUUCGAAUAACCAUCGUGCACUCUUUUCCUCCAUCCAUUUCGGUCUUGUG